UCCAAAAUGUUUACUACCAUUGAUCAAUAUAACAUGUGACAACCAAAAUAGAAUUCUGUAGUUAACGAGUUUUCGUUUUACUUUGGCAACACUGGAUAUUUCAAACCAAACAUUCCAAAGUUGUUCUCAACUUUGAGCAACACUACAAUAAUGCCAUCCUAGAAAAGGAAAUCUUCAGCUUCAUGUAAACGGCGAUAUUGAAGAGUAAUGCCACUCACCACAAGACAGCCAAAUCAGCGCACAGAGCACCAGACCUGUGUCCAGAUGAUUUACAAUCUGCACGUGGAGAUCUGUGCUCUGGUAAGAACAGUGAAAGGAUACAUACGGGUGCGUGUGCUAGAGAGGGAGAAAGAGAGAGAGAAAGAGUGAAGAGCUACAUGAAAUAAAGCAUAGAUCAUGUUCAUGGUGAAUUAUUUGUGUAAAGUGUUUUUUUUUUUUUAUUGGUUUGUGUCCUUCAAGGAGGACGAGAAUGCCAGGUUGAGUGAAAGGAGCUCCCAACUGGACAAAGAGUUAUUUCUGAAGGAGAGAGAAGUAAGAGCAGCAAAAUGCUGGGUAGCUGAGAAUGAAGCUCAGCUUCCCCAACUGGAGAAUAUUAUUCUUCAGAAGGAGAAAGAACUGGAC
rnacentral:lncRNA from 1 species